rnacentral:rRNA from 1 species
AACGAACGCUGGCGGCAGGCCUAACACAUGCAAGUCGAACGCCCGUAGCAAUACGGGAGUGGCAGACGGGUGAGUAACGCGUGGGAACGUGCCCUUCGGUUCGGAAUAACUCAGGGAAACUUGAGCUAAUACCGGAUACGUCCGUAAGGAGAAAGAUUUAUUGCCGAAGGAUCGGCCCGCGUCGGAUUAGCUAGUUGGUGGGGUAAUGGCCCACCAAGGCGACGAUCCGUAGCUGGUCUGAGAGGANCAUCAGCCACACUGGGACUGAGACACGGCCCAGACUCCUACGGGAGGCAGCAGUGGGGAAUAUUGGACAAUGGGCGAAAGCCUGACGCAGCGACGCCGCGUGAGGGAUGACGGCCU